CCAGUAGGUUCUCCGGUGCUAAACUUUCAAAGCAGUUUAGCACCAAUUUUCAAAAUGAUUGCACCCCUGCUGAAGGAGACUUCAAAUGCUGUCAUUAUAGGUCUGUAGGUUUGAUCUCUGUCAUGAAACAGUAUUGCAUAUAACACUGUAUUUAAUUUCCUUUUACAGACUGUCUGCAUGUUCUAUAUUAUGGAUUGCCUGGAGUUUGCGUUUUGUUCUUGAUAGUGGUGACCAGUACGUGUCUCUGUAGGAAAAGACUGAAAACAGCGCAAAGAAACAGGAAAGUGGAACUCACUGCGCACCACAGCGGCACACGACAGAGGAAAACAAGAGAGGACGCGACUGAAUAUGCGUCACUGAAUCUCAUCAGAACAAGAUGAUAUCAACAGCCUGUUUGAAGUGACUCAGACUGCAGGCUCUCGGCCUACAUGUUUAUUGUGACUUUCAGCCUGCCAACAACCUCUUUUUUAUUAUUAUUAUUAUUUGUUUAUUUAGCAGACGCCUUUAUCCAAGGUGACUUAGAGACUAGGGUGUGUGAACUAUGCAUCAGCUGCAGAGUCACUUACAACUACGUCUCACCCGAAAGACGGAACACAAGGAGGUUAAGUGACUUGCUCAGGGUCACACAAUGAGUCAGUGGCUGAGGUGAGAUUUGAACCGGGGACCUCCUGGUUACAAGCCCUUUUCUUUUUGAUGUUUCCCAAACUCCAAAUCACAUUUAAAAAUCAAAACAGAUGAUUUUUAAUUAUGAGUACCAGCUUUAUGUGUUCUUGUUUGUUUGUUUCUAAGCUUGUCUAGUUGGAUCCGCUAUUUUGUAUAGGCUUAGGGCUCACAAUGGCGGGGGAACAAAAUGGACAUGUAUCUAAUGACAAGGGGUUCGCUCCAAACCUUUGUGUGUUAAUGGGAAUUUAGAUGCAACAUGGA